rnacentral:rRNA from 1 species
GAUGAACGCUGGCGGCGUGCCUAAUACAUGCAAGUCGAGCGAACAGACGAGGAGCUUGCUCCUCUGACGUUAGCGGCGGACGGGUGAGUAACACGUGGAUAACCUACCUAUAAGACUGGGAUAACUUCGGGAAACCGGAGCUAAUACCGGAUAAUAUAUUGAACCGCAUGGUUCAAUAGUGAAAGACGGUUUUGCUGUCACUUAUAGAUGGAUCCGCGCCGCAUUAGCUAGUUGGUAAGGUAACGGCUUACCAAGGCGACGAUGCGUAGCCGACCUGAGAGGGUGAUCGGCCACACUGGAACUGAGACACGGUCCAGACUCCUACGGGAGGCAGCAGUAGGGAAUCUUCCGCAGUGGGCGAAAGCCUGACGGAGCAACGCCGCGUGAGUGAUGAAGGUCUUCGGAUCGUAAAACUCUGUUAUUAGGGAGAACAAAUGUGUAAGUAACUAUGCACGUCUUGACGGUACCUAAUCAGAAAGCCACGGCUAACUACGUG